rnacentral:lncRNA from 1 species
GGACGACCUGGGCCCCAGGUCCUCGCCCGAACGUGACGCACGGAUGAGCCUCCUCUGCCAACCUGGCCCCCUCCACCGGGCGGUCAACAGGUGAUCGCGCUGCACCUGCCGCGUCACCUGACGGUGCCCCGACCUCUAGUCUAUGGCCCGCUUCUGAGGCGCCUGAUGGUCACCACACCUGCUUAUUUACCGCGUGUUGAUUGAUGCCUGGCACGUAGCGAGGGCGUGGAGAUCGGAGCUGUUUGGGGAAAUCGCUUGGAUCGAUGGCGGCCCACCUAUCCAAGGGAUGCUGUAGAGGGAGGGGUUGCUUGAUCAGCCGUCAGGAGCCCGUGCCGCCUCUCCCCUGCCCUGCCGUCAGCUUCAAGGGUACGCACGUCUCUGAUCCACCAGCGGGGUGCUAAGGAUACGGCUCAUGCUGUAGGACUUACGCCAAAAACGAAAACCAGCAGCUACAAGCCAAUGAAAAGAUGAAAGUAUUAGAGGCGUCGGAAUAACAGGCCAACCCCUAGGAAAGCGAUUAAUAAUGCAGCAGACGGUGAAGAUGGCAUCAUGGAUGUGCUUCCUCUGGGUAGGUACGACCCCUCCCAGCCGAGAACGCAGGGCCGCGCAGCACAACUGGGUUGAACAUGGAUUUGCAUCUUCGGGAAGCACAGCCAC